rnacentral:misc_RNA from 1 species
AACGAGGCCGACCUGCGGCUGAGUUACCUGCGGAGGGAUCAUUACACAAUAAAAUAUGAAGGCUGUACGCGGCUGUGCUCUCGGGCCAGUUUUGCGGAGGCUGAAUUAUUUAUUACCCUUGUCUUUUGCGCACUUGUUGUUUCCUGGGCGGGUUCGCCCGCCACCAGGACCACAUCAUAAACCUUUUUUAUGCAGUUGCAAUCAGCGUCAGUAUAACAAAUGUAAAUCAUUUACAACUUU